AGGUCAGUAGCUCAAGUGGUAGAGUAGCGGUCUCCAAAACCGUUGGUUGGGGGUUCGAGUCCCUCCUGGCCUG
rnacentral:tRNA from 1 species